UCCGGUUGAUCCUGGCGGAGGCCAUUGCUAUUGGGAUCCGAUUUAGCCAUGCUAGUCGUACGAGUUCAGACUCGUGGCGAAUAGCUCAGUAACACGUGGCCAAACUACCCUUCGGACCGCAAUACCCUCGGGAAACUGAGGUUAAUAGCGGACACCACACGCAGACUGGAAUGUCGCGUGUGUCAAACGCUCCGGCGCCGAAGGAUGUGGCUGCGGCCGAUUAGGUAGACGGUGGGGUAACGGCCCACCGUGCCAAUAAUCGGUACGGGUCAUGAGAGUGAGAACCUGGAGACGGAAUCUGAGACAAGAUUCCGGGCCCUACGGGGCGCAGCAGGCGCGAAACCUUUACACUGCACGCCAGUGCGAUAAGGGGAUCCCAAGUGCGUAGGCAUAGAGCCUACGCUUUUGUCCACCCUAGGGUGGUGGACGAAUAAGGGCUGGGCAAGACCGGUGCCAGCCGCCGCGGUAAUACCGGCAGCCCGAGUGAUGGCCGAUCUUAUUGGGCCUAAAGCGUCCGUAGCUGGCCGCACAAGUCCAUCGGGAAAUCCACCUGCUCAACAGGUGGGCGUCCGGUGGAAACUGUGUGGCUUGGGACCGGAAGGCGCGACGGGUACGUCCGGGGUAGGAGUGAAAUCCUGUAAUCCUGGACGGACCGCCGAUGGCGAAAGCACGUCGCGAAGACGGAUCCGACAGUGAGGGACGAAAGCUAGGGUCUCGAACCGGAUUAGAUACCCGGGUAGUCCUAGCCGUAAACACUGCCUGCUAGGUGUGGCACCCACUACNAGUGGGUGCUGUGCCGUANGGAAACCGCUAANCAGGCCGCCUGGG
rnacentral:rRNA from 1 species